AAUGUGCCUUCGGGAACCGUGAGACAGGUGCUGCAUGGCUGUCGUCAGCUCGUGUUGUGAAAUGUUGGGUUAAGUCCCGCAACGAGCGCAACCCUUAUCCUUUGUUGCCAGCGGUCCGGCCGGGAACUCAAAGGAGACUGCCAGUGAUAAACUGGAGGAAGGUGGGGAUGACGUCAAGUCAUCAUGGCCCUUACGACCAGGGCUACACACGUGCUACAAUGGCGCAUACAAAGAGAAGCGACCUCGCGAGAGCAAGCGGACCUCAUAAAGUGCGUCGUAGUCCGGAUUGGAGUCUGCAACUCGACUCCAUGAAGUCGGAAUCGCUAGUAAUCGUGGAUCAGAAUGCCACGGUGAAUACGUUCCCGGGCCUUGUACACACCGCCCGUCACACCAUGGGAGUGGGUUGCAAAAGAAGUAGGUAGCUUAACCUUCGGGAGGGCGCUUACCACUUUGUGAUUCAUGACUGGGGUGAAGUCGUAACAAGGUAACCGUAGGGGAACCUGCGGUUGGAUCACCUC
rnacentral:rRNA from 1 species